AGUGAACGCUGGCGGUAGGCCUAACACAUGCAAGUCGAACGGCAGCACAGUAAGAGCUUGCUCUUACGGGUGGCGAGUGGCGGACGGGUGAGGAAUACAUCGGAAUCUACUUUUUCGUGGGGGAUAACGUAGGGAAACUUACGCUAAUACCGCAUACGACCUACGGGUGAAAGCAGGGGAUCUUCGGACCUUGCGCGAUUGAAUGAGCCGAUGUCGGAUUAGCUAGUUGGCGGGGUAAAGGCCCACCAAGGCGACGAUCCGUAGCUGGUCUGAGAGGAUGAUCAGCCACAAUGGAACUGGGACACGGUCCAGACUCCUACGGGAGGCAGCAGUGGGGAAUAUUGGACAAUGGGGGCAAGCCUGAUCCAGCCAUAACGCGUGGGUGAAGAAGGCCUUUGGGUUGUAAAGCCCUUUUGUUGGGAAAGAAAAGCAGCAGGUUAAUACCCCGCUGUUCUGACGGUACCCAAAGAAUAAGCACCGGCUAACUUCGUG
rnacentral:rRNA from 1 species